CAGCAGCCGCGGUAAUACGGAGGGAGCUAGCGUUGUUCGGAAUUACUGGGCGUAAAGCGUGCGUAGGCGGUUACUCAAGUCAGAGGUGAAAGCCCGGGGCUCAACCCCGGAACUGCCUUUGAAACUAGGUGACUAGAAUCUUGGAGAGGUCAGUGGAAUUCCGAGUGUAGAGGUGAAAUUCGUAGAUAUUCGGAAGAACACCAGUGGCGAAGGCGACUGACUGGACAAGUAUUGACGCUGAGGUGCGAAAGCGUGGGGAGCAAACAGGAUUAGAUACCCCUGUAGUCCCUGUCUCUUAUAC
rnacentral:rRNA from 1 species